CCUACGGGAGGCAGCAGUAGGGAAUAUUGCUCAAUGGGGGAAACCCUGAAGCAGCAACGCCGCGUGGAGGAUGAAGGUUUUAGGAUUGUAAACUCCUGUUGAGAGAGAAGAGAAGGACGGUAGAUCACGAAUAAGCACCGGCUAACUCCGUGCCAGCAGCCGCGGUAAUACGGCGGGGGCAAGCGUUACUCGGAAUCACUGGGCGUAAAGAGGGCGCAGGCGGGCUUGUAAGUCAGAUGUGAAAUCCUGUCGCUUACCUACAGAACUGCAUUUGAAACUAUGAGUCUAGCGUGUGGGAGAGUUCGUUGGAAUUCUUGGUGUAGCGGUCACAUCCGUAGAUAUCACG
rnacentral:rRNA from 1 species